AAAGCAGGUUGCAAUUACAGUGCUUCAUUCUGUGGGAGUACUGCCAUUACCCUGCUGAGAGUAAAGCUGUGUUAAAUAUUGCUUUGGUCUUCACAUUCAUAGAGGUGAAGCCCUCCAGUUUAACAUGUACACAU